rnacentral:rRNA from 1 species
UACGGAGGAUGCAAGCGUUAUCCGGAUUUAUUGGGUUUAAAGGGUGCGCAGGUUGUUUGAUAAGUCAGUGGUGAAAGUCUGUCGCUUAACGGUAGGAUUGCCAUUGAUACUGUUAGACUUGAAUAUGGAUGAGGUAGGCGGAAUGUGUAGUGUAGCGGUGAAAUGCAUAGAUAUUACACAGAACACCGAUUGCGAAGGCAGCUUACUAAUCCAUCAUUGACGCUGAGGCGCGAAAGCGUGGGGAUCAAACAGGA